rnacentral:rRNA from 1 species
AGUGAACGCUGGCGGUAGGCCUAACACAUGCAAGUCGAACGGCAGCACAGUAAGAGCUUGCCCUUACGGGUGGCGAGUGGCGGACGGGGGAGGAAUACAUCGGAAUCUACUUUUUCUUGGGGGAUAACGUAGGGAAACUUACGCUAAUACCGCAGACGACCUACGGGUGAAAGCAGGGGAUCUUCGGACCUUGCGCGAUUGAAUGAGCCGAUGUCGGAUUAGCUAGUUGGCGGGGUAAAGGCCCACCAAGGCGACGAUCCGUAGCUGGUCUGAGAGGAUGAUCAGUCACACUGGAACUGAGACACGGUCCAGACUCCUACGGGAGGCAGCAGUGGGGAAUAUUGGACAAUGGGCGCAAGCCUGAUCCAGCCAUACCGCGUGGGUGAAGAAGGCCUUCGGGUUGUAAAGCACUUUUGUUGGGAAAGAAAAGCAGCAGGUUAAUACCCCGCUGUUCUGACGGUACCCAAAGAAUAAGCACCGGCUAACUUCGUG